rnacentral:tmRNA from 1 species
CAUCUUUUCACGGGCGCAAGAACACCCUAUAUGGAUCGUGCCGGACUUGAUCCGGCUAUGGCGAUAAACGGCCUUUGUAAUAAGCCUAUUGGACCCGGGGGCGGUACCCGGCGCCUCCACCAGAAACCGGCGGACCUUCAUGGGAAGGCCUGCUUCUGAUGGGGGCGAAAUAGGAUCGACAAGGGUGUAAAGAUUGGACUUUCGCUCGGCAUGAUACCGCCGUUAUCGGGUCACAAGUGUAGUUGCAAACGACAACAACGCUAAGGAAUACGCUCUCGCUGCCUAAUGGCGGUGCGGGAAUU